UCGGCCGAACUACCCCCCUCACACCCUUACCAUUUUCGGUUUUCAUUCAUUCAAUCCAAGCUCCAUACAAGGUGUAAGAAGGUGAAUAACGAAGCUUGGUGUUCACGGAUCUUGAAGGACCACCUUCGUUUGCUAUUAUCCUCUACAUUUUCACUUGUUUCUUCCCUAGUUUAAAAGCUAGUAUAUAAUGUUGUCGCUAGAUGCUUAUGGAGCUUGCACGAGGAGGAGGUUGUUGUGGGAUAUGGAUUGUUAUGUCCCGUGCUUAAUGUUUAAUCCUUAUGAACCUAUUAAACUUACAUUUUGAACUUUAAACUUAUGAACUUUGGA
rnacentral:lncRNA from 1 species